rnacentral:rRNA from 1 species
UACGUAGGGCGCAAGCGUUGUCCGGAAUUAUUGGGCGUAAAGAGCUCGUAGGCGGCUUGUCACGUCGGGUGUGAAAGCCCGGGGCUUAACCCCGGGUCUGCAUUCGAUACGGGCUAGCUAGAGUGUGGUAGGGGAGAUCGGAAUUCCUGGUGUAGCGGUGAAAUGCGCAGAUAUCUGGAGGAACACCGGUGGCGAAGGCGGCAUCCUGGACCGAUAUUGACGCUGAGGCGCGAAAGCCAGGGGAGCAAACGGG